UUACGGUCAUAUCACGUUGAAACACAGGUUUAUGUAUGAUCACCGAAGUUAAGCAACCUUGAGUCUGGUCAGUACUUAGAUGGGUGACAGUCUAUUAAUACCAGGUGCUGCAAGC